UACGUAGGGUGCGAGCGUUAAUCGGAAUUACUGGGCGUAAAGCGUGCGCAGGCGGUUUUGUAAAGUCUGUCGUGAAAUCCCCGGGCUCAACCUGGGAAACUGCGUCCGAUACUGGGAGGCUUGAAUCCGGGAGAGGGAUGUGGAAUUCCAGGUGUAGCGGUGAAAUGCGUAGAUAUCUGGAGGAACACCGGUGGCGAAGGCGGCAUCCUGGACCGGUAUUGACGCUGAGGCGCGAAAGCUAGGGGAGCAAACGGGG
rnacentral:rRNA from 1 species